UAUCCUCUUGAAAAUGAGAGUCGAGAACGCAAAAUGGACAUUCAGUGCCUUUUAUCUCCACGACAAUACAUCGGCGAAAUGCUUUAGCUACGAGCUAACGUGAUAGCAUCGUGCUUCAAGUGCAUAUAGAAACAAAAAAAUAAAGGAUAGAAGGAAGGAUAGAUAGAAAAUCAACAAUACUAUUAAACCGUGGACAUGUAAAUACACGGUUAAUGCUUUCCAGGCUGGCGAAGGUUAACAAUGCUGUGCUAACGACGCCAUUGAAGCUAACUUAGCAAUGGGACCUCACAGAGCUAUGCUAAAAACAUUAGCUCUCCACCUACGCCAGCCAGCCCUCAUCUACUCAUCAACACCCGUGCUCACCUGCGUUCCAGCGAUCGGCAGAAGGACGAAGGACUUCACCCGAUGCGUUUGGCGGCCCGGAGACGUAGGAAGUCAAGUUCCAGGUUUUCAUGAAGUCAUGAGAAAAAGACUCAAGCAGGAUAAGGCCACCCACCACUUCACAGAAGACAACAGUGAAAAAAGAAGCAGGCUUAGCUAACAUCUUUAAAAAAAAAAAAAGCCUAGACCCCUGCCAACUGUUGUGGCUGGUUUCCACAGAGACCUUGGGCAGCGAGAUGGCCACGGCCCUGUUCUCCAUCUUGCUGAGCCAAGUGUCCACCUGCUUCCUGGUCAGCAGCUUUUCCAGGCGCUCCAGGGGCUCCAGGUGGUAGGGCAUGAUGAAGAUCAUGGAGGCCUGCUUCUUGCCCAGAGGCAUGUCCAGCACGUACAGCUUGUUCUCCUUGUCCUCGUAGAAGUCGUACAGGCCUGAUGGAGCCGGCAGAGCGCGUCAGGCGCCUCAUCUUUAAAGUGCACGGACCAGAAAAAGAUAAAGAUAGGAAACGUACCUGUGCGGUGCAUCAUGGGAACGCUGACCGUGAAAGAGCGGGUCACCAGGAAGCCACGGUUGUCCACCAUUUGUUCAUGGAAUUUCUCAUCCCAGUGAGCUUUAGGAGGUAACACACGACACUUUUACAAAAAGUUUUACAUAAAGUUAGUUUUACUUUAUUUGAUUCUAAUUUUGUUUUACUAUGCAUUAAAAAUCUAUAAUCAACAUACCCUCUAAGGUGCGCGCACUGCUCACCCGUCCUCUGCACACAGAAAAUCUAUGCCGUGCACAAAAUAAAAUCUAAUCUAAACUCUAAACACAAUAAACACAUGACUACUGUAUUUUUUGGAUUAUAAAUCGCAGUUUUUUUCACAGUUUGGCCGGGGGUGCGAUUUAUACUCUGGAGCGACUCAUGUGUGAAAUUAUUAACACAUUACCGUAAAAUAUCAAAUAAUAUUAUUUAUCUCAUUCACGUAAGAGACUAGGCAUAUAUCAGCAAUCGUCACACACACACACGCCAACCAAUACAAAUUCGGCCGGGGCGGGUCAUGGCAGAAGUGCAUUGUGAAAAAAAAGAUGCUACCUGCUACUACUGCCGUACCUAUGAAAAUUGAUCAUUUCAACAUUGGCGGUAACUUAUAAAAACUGAGAAGGGCUGAACAAAAAUGGCACCGAAAAGGAAAUCAUAUACUGCAGGUUACAAGCUGGAAGUAGUGAAAUAUGC